rnacentral:rRNA from 1 species
GAUGAACGCUGGCGGCGUGCCUAAUACAUGCAAGUCGAGCGAACGGACGCGAAGCUUGCUUCUCUGAUGUUAGCGGCGGACGGGUGAGUAACACGUGGAUAACCUACCUAUAAGACUGGGAUAACUUCGGGAAACCGGAGCUAAUACCGGAUAAUCUUUUGAACCGCAUGGUUCAAAAGUGAAAGACGGUCUUGCUGUAACUAAUAGAUGGUUCCGCGCUGCAUUAGCUGGUUGGUAAGGUAACGGCUUACCAAGGCAACGAUGCAUAACCGAACUGAGAGAGGGAUCGGCCACACGGGAGCGGGAACGCGGCCCAGGCGCCUGCGGGAGGCAGCAGAAGGGAACCGUCCGCAGUGGGCGAAAGCCUGACGGAGCAGGGCCACGUGAGUGGUAGAGGUCCUCGGAUCGUAAUACUGUGUUAUUAGUGAUGAACAUAUGUGUAAUGAACUGUGCACAGCGUGACGGUACCUAAUCAGAAAGCCACGGCUAACUACGUG